UACGUAGGGGGCAAGCGUUGUCCGGAAUCAUUGGGCGUAAAGCGCGUGUAGGCGGCUUGGUAAGUCCGUUCUGAAAGCCCGGGGCUCAACCCCGGGAGGCGGAUGGAUACUGCUGAGCUCGAGUCCGGAAGAGGCGAGUGGAAUUCCUGGUGUAGCGGUGAAAUGCGGAGAUAUCAGGAGGAACACCUGUGGCGAAAGCGGCUCACUGGACCAUAACUGACGCUGAUGCACGAAAAGCUAGGGGAGCAAACAGG
rnacentral:rRNA from 1 species